rnacentral:rRNA from 1 species
UUUUAUGGAGAGUUUGAUCCUGGCUCAGGAUGAACGCUGGCGGCGUGCCUAAUACAUGCAAGUCGAGCGAACGGACGAGAAGCUUGCUUCUCUGAUGUUAGCGGCGGACGGGUGAGUAACACGUGGAUAACCUACCUAUAAGACUGGGAUAACUUCGGGAAACCGGAGCUAAUACCGGAUAAUAUUUUGAACCGCAUGGUUCAAAAGUGAAAGACGGUCUUGCUGUCACUUAUAGAUGGAUCCGCGCUGCAUUAGCUAGUUGGUAAGGUAACGGCUUACCAAGGCAACGAUGCAUAGCCGACCUGAGAGGGUGAUCGGCCACACUGGAACUGAGACACGGUCCAGACUCCUACGGGAGGCAGCAGUAGGGAAUCUUCCGCAAUGGGCGAAAGCCUGACGGAGCAACGCCGCGUGAGUGAUGAAGGUCUUCGGAUCGUAAAACUCUGUUAUUAGGGAAGAACAUAUGUGUAAGUAACUGUGCACAUCUUGACGGUACCUAAUCAGAAAGCCACGGCUAACUACGUGCCAGCAGCCGCGGUAAUACGUAGGUGGCAAGCGUUAUCCGGAAUUAUUGGGCGUAAAGCGCGCGUAGGCGGUUUUUUAAGUCUGAUGUGAAAGCCCACGGCUCAACCGUGGAGGGUCAUUGGAAACUGGAAAACUUGAGUGCAGAAGAGGAAAGUGGAAUUCCAUGUGUAGCGGUGAAAUGCGCAGAGAUAUGGAGGAACACCAGUGGCGAAGGCGACUUUCUGGUCUGUAACUGACGCUGAUGUGCGAAAGCGUGGGGAUCAAACAGGAUUAGAUACCCUGGUAGUCCACGCCGUAAACGAUGAGUGCUAAGUGUUAGGGGGUUUCCGCCCCUUAGUGCUGCAGCUAACGCAUUAAGCACUCCGCCUGGGGAGUACGACCGCAAGGUUGAAACUCAAAGGAAUUGACGGGGACCCGCACAAGCGGUGGAGCAUGUGGUUUAAUUCGAAGCAACGCGAAGAACCUUACCAAAUCUUGACAUCCUUUGACAACUCUAGAGAUAGAGCCUUCCCCUUCGGGGGACAAAGUGACAGGUGGUGCAUGGUUGUCGUCAGCUCGUGUCGUGAGAUGUUGGGUUAAGUCCCGCAACGAGCGCAACCCUUAAGCUUAGUUGCCAUCAUUAAGUUGGGCACUCUAAGUUGACUGCCGGUGACAAACCGGAGGAAGGUGGGGAUGACGUCAAAUCAUCAUGCCCCUUAUGAUUUGGGCUACACACGUGCUACAAUGGACAAUACAAAGGGCAGCGAAACCGCGAGGUCAAGCAAAUCCCAUAAAGUUGUUCUCAGUUCGGAUUGUAGUCUGCAACUCGACUACAUGAAGCUGGAAUCGCUAGUAAUCGUAGAUCAGCAUGCUACGGUGAAUACGUUCCUGGGUCUUGUACACACCGCCCGUCACACCACGAGAGUUUGUAACACCCGAAGCCGGUGGAGUAACCUUUUAGGAGCUAGCCGUCGAAGGUGGGACAAAUGAUUGGGGUGAAGUCGUAACAAGGUAGCCGUAUCGGAAGGUGCGGCUGGAUCACCUCCUUUCUAA